rnacentral:lncRNA from 1 species
GAAAACAAAUGUAGCUCCUAGACGACAUAUAUCAAGUAGCUUAUAAUUGAAGGCUCACAACCUAUAGGUCUUAAUGAACGGUGUGUUCAUUCGGUGUACUCUAUCCCCGGCAUGGUUGUCUUAUUGACAUAUAUCGUUCAGGUAUCCCCAGAGUGAUAUUGUCUACCCGUUGCUAUAAAGAUCCUUUAUGAUAGGUCCCUUGUGAUCAUAAUUUUAGGGUCAAUGAGUGAAAAUAACGGGAACGGGUAAUCAGUUUAUUUAUUUGGUGUUGUGUGUUUAUAUUUAAAAAGAUUUUAAAGAUUAUUAUUAUGGAUUGAAAACCCUAUGUGUUCAUCAGGCUCCCAAGUCUUCUGUUUCUUUGUAUCACAGGUAGCGGCAUAAGAGCACAGGUGUGAUGAGUUUAAAUCUGGAGUGAGAUUUAAAGGAGAAUAGGCCAAUAGAAUAAUAAACUAUUGUAAGGCCUGUAAUAUUAUGUUUAUGCUUAUGUUGUUGUAUUGACCAUGACAUCCCAAGGUUUUUAAAUAUAAAUGAAAUACAUUUCCUCGGAAAUUCUUUGAUAAUGAUAUUGUCA